GAUGAAGAACGUAGCGAAAUGCGAUAAGUAAUGUGAAUUGCAGAAUUCAGUGAAUCAUCGAGUCUUUGAACGCACAUUGCGCCCCCUGGCAUUCCGGGGGGCAUGCCUGUCCGAGCGUCAUUGCUGCCCUUCAAGCCCGGCUUGUGUGUUGGGUCGUCGUCCCCCCCGGGGGACGGGCCCGAAAGGCAGCGGCGGCACCGCGUCCGGUCCUCGAGCGUAUGGGGCUUUGUCACCCGCUCGAUUAGGGCCGGCCGGGCGCCAGCCGGCGUCUCCAACCUUCUAUUUUACCAGGUUGACCUCGGAUCAGGUAGGGAUACCCGCUGAACUUAAGCAUAUCAAUAAGCGGAGGA
rnacentral:misc_RNA from 1 species